AGAGUUUGAUCAUGGCUCAGAUUGAACGCUGGCGGCAGGCCUAACACAUGCAAGUCGAACGGUAACAGGAAGCAGCUUGCUGCUUUGCUGACGAGUGGCGGACGGGUGAGUAAUGUCUGGGAAACUGCCUGAUGGAGGGGGAUAACUACUGGAAACGGUAGCUAAUACCGCAUAACGUCGCAAGACCAAAGAGGGGGACCUUAGGGCCUCUUGCCAUCGGAUGUGCCCAGAUGGGAUUAGCUAGUAGGUGGGGUAAUGGCUCACCUAGGCGACGAUCCCUAGCUGGUCUGAGAGGAUGACCAGCCACACUGGAACUGAGACACGGUCCAGACUCCUACGGGAGGCAGCAGUGGGGAAUAUUGCACAAUGGGCGCAAGCCUGAUGCAGCCAUGCCGCGUGUAUGAAGAAGGCCUUCGGGUUGUAAAGUACUUUCAGCGGGGAGGAAGGGAGUAAAGUUAAUACCUUUGCUCAUUGACGUUACCCGCAGAAGAAGCACCGGCUAACUCCGUGCCAGCAGCCGCGGUAAUACGGAGGGUGCAAGCGUUAAUCGGAAUUACUGGGCGUAAAGCGCACGCAGGCGGUUUGUUAAGUCAGAUGUGAAAUCCCCGGGCUCAACCUGGGAACUGCAUCUGAUACUGGCAAGCUUGAGUCUCGUAGAGGGGGGUAGAAUUCCAGGUGUAGCGGUGAAAUGCGUAGAGAUCUGGAGGAAUACCGGUGGCGAAGGCGGCCCCCUGGACGAAGACUGACGCUCAGGUGCGAAAGCGUGGGGAGCAAACAGGAUUAGAUACCCUGGUAGUCCACGCCGUAAACGAUGUCGACUUGGAGGUUGUGCCCUUGAGGCGUGGCUUCCGGAGCUAACGCGUUAAGUCGACCGCCUGGGGAGUACGGCCGCAAGGUUAAAACUCAAAUGAAUUGACGGGGGCCCGCACAAGCGGUGGAGCAUGUGGUUUAAUUCGAUGCAACGCGAAGAACCUUACCUGGUCUUGACAUCCACGGAAGUUUUCAGAGAUGAGAAUGUGCCUUCGGGAACCGUGAGACAGGUGCUGCAUGGCUGUCGUCAGCUCGUGUUGUGAAAUGUUGGGUUAAGUCCCGCAACGAGCGCAACCCUUAUCCUUUGUUGCCAGCGGUCCGGCCGGGAACUCAAAGGAGACUGCCAGUGAUAAACUGGAGGAAGGUGGGGAUGACGUCAAGUCAUCAUGGCCCUUACGACCAGGGCUACACACGUGCUACAAUGGCGCAUACAAAGAGAAGCGACCUCGCGAGAGCAAGCGGACCUCAUAAAGUGCGUCGUAGUCCGGAUUGGAGUCUGCAACUCGACUCCAUGAAGUCGGAAUCGCUAGUAAUCGUGGAUCAGAAUGCCACGGUGAAUACGUUCCCGGGCCUUGUACACACCGCCCGUCACACCAUGGGAGUGGGUUGCAAAAGAAGUAGGUAGCUUAACCUUCGGGAGGGCGCUUACCACUUUGUGAUUCAUGACUGGGGUGAAGUCGUAACAAGGUAACCGUAGGGGAACCUGCGGUUGGAUCACCU
rnacentral:rRNA from 2 species